rnacentral:rRNA from 1 species
GCCAUCAGGUCAAGCUGGGGACUCUAAUGAAACUGCCUACGCAAGUAGUGAGGAAGGUGGGGAUGACGUCAAAUCAGCACGGCCCUUACGUCCAGGGCUACACACGUGCUACAAUGGCCGGUACAAAGGGCAGCUACCUGGUGACAGGAUGCAAAUCUCAAAAGCCGGUCUCAGUUCGGAUCGGAGUCUGCAACCCGACUCCGUGAAGUUGGAUUCGCUAGUAAUCGUGAAUCAGAAUGUCACGGUGAAUACGUUCCCGGGCCUU